UUUCCGUAGGUGAACCUGCGGAAGGAUCAUUACUGAGUUAGGGUCUUUAUGGCCCGACCUCCAACCCUUUGUUUAAUCUACCAUGUUGCUUUGGCAGGCCCGCUUAGAAAUGGGCCGCCGGAGACCUUUGAGUCUCUGGUCAGUGCCCGCCAGUAGCCUUUCUAAAUUCAUUUAUAACCGUGUCUGAAUAUACAAAGAAAAAUUAAAAUACAACUUUCAACAACGGAUCUCUUGGCUCUC
rnacentral:misc_RNA from 1 species